UCGAGCGAGAGAAAGUUGCGUCGUCGGACGAUAUUUACUGCGCGCUGGCAUUAAUCUUACCGGUGUUCGUAAGACGCGAAUAAAGAAUCUUUCGGGUAUACAUCCGACUGCCUGACACUGCGUGAAAUGCGCGAGUCGACGCCAACCACAAUAUACAGCGCAAUGUCGAUGCAUACGCGCGAGAGACAGUUUCAUGUGAAGUUUCUCCAAGGCGGUCUAGCCUCUCUGUUCUUUUUUUUUUCUUUUCUCGGCACGCAGCCCUACGCAGAUUUUCUCGCAACGAUCGCGUGAUAUGGCGCUCUAUGAGCUUGGUGCUUCGGUAAACGCUCAUUGGGGGCUUUCGGAAAGCGCCUGUAGAGAGACACGUUUCUGGGAACCAUCAAGCGCAAUUUGGAUCAUUCAACGGGUACGUGCGCUUGUGAGAACGCAGGGUGUGUCUUACGUGUUGGCAAGAAAAAAAAAAGGAAAAAGAAAGAAAGGCGGGCUCAGACGUACGCCAUGCAGUUCGCUGUUCUGCGACCGACCUUUUAAAACAUAUUAGUUGAAUUGUGGCUGAUGUUUCGUCUCUUCUCACGUUUAAUUUCAACUGUAGCGCUGAAAUACAUACCUCAAUAUAUCUGUUGACUUUCUAGACAUCUUUGUAAUGAUCGUCACACCCAUCAAACAAUAUUUCACGAUUAGAAGACGAACUAUCCAUAGUUUUAUUCGGGAAACGACGCAUGAAGCUUAACUCAACGUCUCUGUGUAUAAAAGCGCUGGACAAACUGCGCCGCACAUAAAAUGACUGCAGCUUAUGUGGAGCAGUGCAACUACAACCACGUAAUAAAGAACUAGCUACAACUGCUAUCUCGACAGGGUUUCACAAUUCACCACUGCGUCAGUCGCCCUGGUCAGGGUCAACGCCUUUCAUUCGUUUCAGCCAACGUACAUAGAUGGCGCCACCAUUGCCGCGCUCGGCAAUGUUGCCGUUAGGCAUAUGGGGCCGAGGAUACGUGACGUCGCCGGGUAACUUUCGUUACUUUCGUGGUGGUUUCUUGGAAAUGGCUCCGGCGUUGAGCUAAAGAAAACCCCCGUUUGCUUGUCUGUGUGCUCAGGAAAUGUGCGCCGUCAAUAUUUUUUGCGUGUGUUGUGAACUGAAUUGACCCACGGUGCCAAUUCUGUGCCCGAGGAGUACUGACCGAACUCCGAUCGGGCCCGACGGCCCCGUGCGGGCGCUGCCAGCCGACCUAGGUGAGGCUGCUUCAGCGUACCGUAGGACCCGCGCCAACGUAUGCUGCACUGGGAACAGCUUCUUUCGCAUAAAUUUGAAAGAAGUCUUGAGGGACCAAAGCGGCGCAAGGAAAACGUAAGUUCGUGUUUUUAAGUUUCCGCUGCACGCAGCCAUUUUAGGACGCGUUUUGGAGGGCACGAAGAGCGGUCGUUACGUAAACUGUUGUCGUAGGGAGGCGCGUGCAAACACGGUGGCGUCCGCCCGUAUCGUUUACUCGUGACCCUGAGUGGUUUAAAUAUAGGCUGCCUGGCGUAUCGGUCUUGAGUGUCAUGUGGUUCGCCGGAAAUGUGUGCGCCGCGUGUGCUAUGAGUUUCAGCUUGUGUUAUUUGCCUCCUUUGGAAGGUUAACCGGCAGGUUAACAGAUGGGAAGGUCCCGUUUGCUACCCUACGCUAGGAUGAGAGGGGAGGGGGAGGUAAAGUGGUAACAAAGUAAAGAUAAAGAAAGGAAGAAAGAAAGAAAGAAAGAAGGAAAGAAAGGAGCAUAGUCAUAAAAUCACAGUCCGUCACUGUCACCGCAUACCGUCACCGCACAGCACAGUAGCACUCGCAGCACUGUAAGCAUCUGUUCAAGCUACAGCCGCUUGUCGAAUUCUGUUGGCCUUAAAAACUGCAACAGUGCCCUCGUCGUACUCAGUUUUGUCCUGCAAGGUUGCAAAAGGGGCUACUAGAGAAACGAAAGCCUUGUACGAGAGAGAGAGAGAGAGAGAGAGAGAGAGAGAGAGAGAGAGAGAGAGAGAGAGAGCAUUUCUCUACAGCACGAGGUCGCGGAAUCAUAUCCCGGCCGCAGCGCGGCUGCAUUUCGAUGGGGGCUACACAUGCAAAAAUACCCUUCUCCCGUGCAUUGGGAAAACUUUAAAGAUCCCCAGGUGGUCAAAAUUAAUUCGUUGUCCCCCAAUGACAAUGUGCCUCAUAAUAAAUCGUGGUUCUUGCGCGUGAAACCCUAGCAUUCCAAAAUAAUUUGAGCUGUAUCAGCAAAUUGCCAUGCUACAA